rnacentral:rRNA from 1 species
UACGUAGGGCGCAAGCGUUGUCCGGAAUUAUUGGGCGUAAAGAGCUCGUAGGCGGUUUGUCGCGUCUGCCGUGAAAACCCGAGGCUUAACCUCGGGCUGGCGGUGGAUACGGGCAGACUAGAGGUAGGUAGGGGAGAAUGGAAUUCCCGGUGUAGCGGUGAAAUGCGCAGAUAUCAGGAAGAACACCUAUGGCGAAGGCAGCUCUCCGGGACGGUACUGACGCUGAGACGCGAAAGCGUGGGGAGCGAACAGG